rnacentral:rRNA from 1 species
GUAGUCCACGCCCUAAACGAUGUCAACUGGUUGUUGGGGAAGGCAACUUCCUUAGUAACGAAGCUAACGCGUGAAGUUGACCGCCUGGGGAGUACGGCCGCAAGGUUAAAACUCAAAGGAAUUGACGGGGACCCGCACAAGCGGUGGAUGAUGUGGAUUAAUUCGAUGCAACGCGAAGAACCUUACCUACCCUUGACAUGCCAGGAACCUGGGUGAGAGCUCAGGGUGCCCGAAAGGGAGCCUGGACACAGGUGCUGCAUGGCUGUCGUCAGCUCGUGUCGUGAGAUGUUGGGUUAAGUCCCGCAACGAGCGCAACCCUUGCCACUAGUUGCUACGGAAACGGGCACUUUAGUGGGACUGCCGGUGACAAACCGGA